rnacentral:rRNA from 1 species
UACAGAGGUGGCAAGCGUUGUUCGGAAUUACUGGGCGUAUAGGGCGCGUAGGCGGCCUCGCAAGUCCCGUGUGAAAUCCCUCGGCUCAACUGAGGAAUGGCACGGGAAACUGCGGGGCUUGAGUUCGGGAGAGGGAAGCGGAAUUCCGGGUGUAGCGGUGAAAUGCGUAGAUAUCCGGAGGAACACCGGUGGCGAAGGCGGCUUCCUGGACCGAUACUGACGCUGAGGCGCGAAAGCUAGGGGAGCAAACGGG